GAUUGUAAAUAUCGGCAAAGGCGAUUACACCACGUUUGUGAAGCCGAACAUUCCGGCAACGGGCGAGUUCAAAGGCGUGGGCUUCCUGGAGGCGCCGCGCGGUAUGCUGUCUCACUGGAUGGUGAUUAAAGACGGCAUUAUCAGUAACUAUCAGGCGGUGGUGCCAUCGACCUGGAACUCAGGUCCGCGUAACUUCAACGAUGACGUGGGGCCGUACGAACAGUCGCUGGUCGGUACGCCGAUCGCCGAUCCGGCGAAGCCGCUGGAAGUGGUACGUACCAUCCACUCCUUCGACCCUUGCAUGGCGUGCGCGGUACACGUGGUGGUGGACGCCGAUGGCAAUGAAGUGGUCUCGGUGAAGGUUUUGUAAUGCGGAAAUUAGUCUUAGGGG
rnacentral:misc_RNA from 1 species